rnacentral:lncRNA from 1 species
AUUUAAUUUUAUUUCUUCAGUACCCUUUACUGUAAUUACAGGGACUUGCCCAAAGUGCCUGUAGUAGAGCCAUAGCAUUCCUUUUGAUCUUUAUUCCCUUUAGAAUAUCCCUUGCCUUGUUUUUGCAAAUCAAAUCUUACCUAUCCUUCAUGUCAGAGUGUGCAUGCCAAACUUUCUCCAGUCAUUACAAUUGAAAGUAAUAAUUAUAAUUUCUGAGGCUUCAUAGUACCUUAUGUGUAACUUGCUUAUGACAAUUCCUAUCAUCAUUGUAUUUGCAAAGAGUUAUUUGCUUUUCUCUUGGGAUAUAAAUUUAUGGAAGCAAAGAGCUGCCUAUUCAUAAUUCUAGCAUGGGGCCUUGAACAUCACUGGAUCUCAAUAAUUACGAUUCCAAGGAACAAAACUUGCCUUUACUGGAAAUAAAGAAUUCAUUAUCUCUCAGCAAGUGAGAGAUCGGGGAAGUAGUACUGACUGCUCCAGUUAAAUAUCUAAUAUUCGCAUGCUGAUUACAAUUUACGUAAUUCUUCCACUUCCUGAAAGACACAGAAGGGUCUAUGUACAUAGAGCUCAUAACUGGCAGACUUCUAAGUUCAGAAGUGUUUCCACAUUUGACUUUCUCCAUUAAUGUAUGUAAAUAUUAAUGGUGUAGUGUAUAUAACACUACAUUUGUUUCCUUUACAUUAAUAUAGAUAGUAGUUAUAAGUUUGAUUACUUUGUUAUGAAAAAACAAAAAAUUGUACUUUCAAACUGUAUUUUUUUAAACGAGAAAUUUUUUGAUCUAUGAUUUUUCUUAGUUUCCAGCUACAGUGAUGCUGGCAAAAUCCUGGAUAGACAUUUAUAUGAAUGUCCUUUCCACUUCCACAUUAUAUUUUUUUUUUUUUUUGAGAUGGAGUUUCGCUCUUUUGCCCAGGCUGGAGUGCAGUGUCACCAUCUUGGCUCACUGCAACCUCCACCUUCCAGUUUCAAGUGAUUCUCCUGCCUCAGCCUCCUGAGUAGCUGGGAUUACAGGCACCCGCCACCAUGCCCGGCUAAUUUUUGUAUUUUUAGUGAGAUGGGGUUUCACCAUGUUGGCCA